AGUCAGUCGGUGGGGUAAGAGCCUACCAAGACGAUGAUCAGUAGCCGAGCUGAGAGGGUGGCCGGCCACAUUGGGACUGAGAUACGGCCCAGACUCCUACGGGAGGCAGCAGUUGGGAAUAUUGGACAAUGGAGGAAACUCUGAUCCAGUGACGCCGCGUGAGGGAAGAAGGUCUUCGGAUUGUAAACUUAUUUUAUCAGGGAAGAAGAAAGUGACAGUACCUGAAGAAAAAGGACCGGCAAACUACGUGCCAGCAGCCGCGGUAAUACGUAGGGUCCAAGCGUUAUCCGGAUUUACUGGGUGUAAAGGGCGAGUAGACGGCGCUGUAAGUCAGCUGUGAAAACUUAGGGCUCAACCUUAAGCCUGCAGCUGAAACUGUAGUGCUAGAGUGCAGGAGAGGUAAGCGGAAUUCCUAGUGUAGCGGUGAAAUGCGUAGAUAUUAGGAGGAACACCAGUGGCGAAGGCGGCUUACUGGACUGUAACUGACGUUGAGGCGCGAAAGUGUGGGGAGCAAACAGGAUUAGAUACCCUGGUAGUCCACACCGUAAACGAUGGAUACUAGGUGUAGGCGAGAUAUCGUCUGUGCCGGCGCAAACGCAAUAAGUAUCCCACCUGGGGAGUA
rnacentral:rRNA from 1 species